rnacentral:rRNA from 1 species
UGUUGCGGGGGGGUGCUAUAAUGCAGUCGAGCGGACAGAUGGGAGCUUGCUCCCUGAUGUUAGCGGCGGACGGGUGAGUAACACGUGGGUAACCUGCCUGUAAGACUGGGAUAACUCCGGGAAACCGGGGCUAAUACCGGAUGGUUGUUUGAACCGCAUGGUUCAGACAUAAAAGGUGGCUUCGGCUACCACUUACAGAUGGACCCGCGGCGCAUUAGCUAGUUGGUGAGGUAACGGCUCACCAAGGCAACGAUGCGUAGCCGACCUGAGAGGGUGAUCGGCCACACUGGGACUGAGACACGGCCCAGACUCCUACGGGAGGCAGCAGUAGGGAAUCUUCCGCAAUGGACGAAAGUCUGACGGAGCAACGCCGCGUGAGUGAUGAAGGUUUUCGGAUCGUAAAGCUCUGUUGUUAGGGAAGAACAAGUGCCGUUCAAAUAGGGCGGCACCUUGACGGUACCUAACCAGAAAGCCACGGCUAACUACGUGCCAGCAGCCGCGGUAAUACGUAGGUGGCAAGCGUUGUCCGGAAUUAUUGGGCGUAAAGGGCUCGCAGGCGGUUUCUUAAGUCUGAUGUGAAAGCCCCCGGCUCAACCGGGGAGGGUCAUUGGAAACUGGGGAACUUGAGUGCAGAAGAGGAGAGUGGAAUUCCACGUGUAGCGGUGAAAUGCGUAGAGAUGUGGAGGAACACCAGUGGCGAAGGCGACUCUCUGGUCUGUAACUGACGCUGAGGAGCGAAAGCGUGGGGAGCGAACAGGAUUAGAUACCCUGGUAGUCCACGCCGUAAACGAUGAGUGCUA